GAUGAAGAACGUAGCGAAAUGCGAUAAGUAAUGUGAAUUGCAGAAUUCAGUGAAUCAUCGAAUCUUUGAACGCACAUUGCGCCCGCCAGAAUACUGGCGGGCAUGCCUGUUCGAGCGUCAUUUCAACCAUCAAGCCCCCGGCUUGUGUUGGGGACCUGCGGCUGCCGCAGGCCCUGAAAAGCAGUGGCGGGCUCGCUGUCACACCGAGCGUAGUAGCAUACAUCUCGCUCUGGGCGUGCUGCGGGUUCCGGCCGUUAAACCACCUUCAUAACCCAAGGUUGACCUCGGAUCAGGUAGGAAGACCCGCUGAACUUAAGCAUACAAUAAGCGGAGGA
rnacentral:misc_RNA from 1 species